GUCUACGGCCAUACCACCCUGAACACACCCCAUCUCAUCUGAUCUCGGAAGCUAAGCAGGGUUGGGCCUGGUUAGUACUUGGAUGGGAGGACUAGAAAGCUGGAUC
rnacentral:rRNA from 1 species